AAACAAUGCUGAAGGGAACUGAAGUUCUAACUUCUCCAGAAAUCCUUUCAAGAUUUCUUCUGCAAGUGACGUGCAACCAAAGAAGUACCGAAGGAGAUAAAAGCAACUCCUGAUUCGAGCAUCAUAUGAAAGGGGAAUGACAGAUGACUGCGGAUGAAGCAGUGGCCUGGAACUCUACGUGAACUGGAAAAACUGGGAAUACAUGAAGUAAUUUGGUGUAUAGCUGAUUAUCCACAUACAAAUGAGAAAUUAAUGAAUAGCCUCCCCUAAUAAUAACUCAUAGGAAUGAAUAGCUAUUUGGAUGGCAUGCAUUUUCUAUUUAUUCCACUGAGGCAAAACAGGAAGACUUUUUUUGUUAAAAUAUUUCAAUAAAACAUGGGAAAAAUAUACUUUUUCUAGAGGUUUACUCCUCUUUUUGUAGUCAAAUAAGCCUAAAAGUGAAACCUUCU
rnacentral:lncRNA from 1 species